rnacentral:rRNA from 1 species
GACGAACGCUGGCGGCGUGCUUAACACAUGCAAGUCGAACGCGCCUGUCCUCUGGGUUUCUGGGGGGUGGGUGAGUGGCGAACGGGUGAGUAACACGUGAGUAACCUGCCCCCUUCUUCGGGAUAACGGUCUGAAAGGGCUGCUAAUACCGGGUAUUCACUGGUCUCCGCAUGGGGUCUGGUGGAAAGGUUUUUUUCUGGUGGGGGAUGGGCUCGCGGCCUAUCAGCUUGUUGGUGGGGUGAUGGCCCACCAAGGCUUUGACGGGUAGCCGGCCUGAGAGGGUGACCGGUCACAUUGGGACUGAGAUACGGCCCAGACUCCUACGGGAGGCAGCAGUGGGGAAUAUUGCACAAUGGGCGGAAGCCUGAUGCAGCGACGCCGCGGGAGGGAUGGAGGCCUUCGGGUUGUGAACCUCUUUCGCCCGUGGUCAAGCCGCGACGUGGGUCGUGGUGAGGGUAGUGGGUAAAGAAGCGCCGGCUAACUACGUG